UGGUUAAACAGAAAUGCAUGAUUAGUUGGCAAACAGGCCUCGCAUUUAGUUAAAUACAAUCGGCGGGCGGACGGGUAGAGGAGAGAGAACUGCAUUCCGGACGGCAUCGGAUAAACCGGAGGGCAAGGACAACUGCAGGCAACGCAAUUUUCUGGAAGAUUUUUGAACCUAAACCGCCACAACGCGCCAUUGGGGGUGAUGGUAUUGUACAGCAUUAGAUGCUCGCACGGCUGGAGUUUCUUUAGAGCCGUCAAGCCCACCCCCCUUUCUCUCAAAACGAGUAUCCACAAGCCCCGCCUCUGCUCUAACAUGCCAAUACAAAACGUUUAUGGAGGCUCAGUUCAUCGAGUUUAUGAUGCAUUGCUGUUGGAUGCUGGAGGAACGUUAUUGCAGUUGGCAAAGCCAGUUGAAGAGACUUACGCAUCCAUUGGAUCCAAAUAUGGUCUAGUAAGCACUCCUGCUGAUAUAAAGCAAGGAUUUAAGAGGGCAUUUUCUGGUCCAUGGCCUCAAAAGCUUCGUUACCAGGGAGAUGGAAGGCCAUUUUGGAAACUUGUCGUUUCAGAAGCCACUGGUUGUGCUGAUGAUAAUUACUUUGAAGAUGUCUAUCAGUACUAUGCAAAUGGUGACGCAUGGCAUCUUCCACCUGGAGCUUAUGCAGCCCUGACCGUUUUGAAAGAUGCUGGAGUAAAGGUGGCUGUUGUGUCCAACUUUGACACUCGCUUAAGGAAGCUGUUGAAGGAUCUAAAUGUGUUAGAUAUGUUUGAUGCUGUCAUAAUUUCGGCAGAAGUUGGUUAUGAAAAACCAGAUGGACAAAUAUUUGAAGCUGCGUUAGAAAGAUGAGGUUGGAUGGUUUGUUGUAGAUGAACUCGGAGUGGCAGCGAACAAAGCAGUACAUGUUGGAGAUGAUCAGAAGGCAGACAAGGAGGGAGCAAAUGGUGUCGGAAUAGCUUGCUGGCUAUGGGGAAAAGAUGUGACGACCUUCCAGGACGUUCAGAACCGAAUCCUCAUUUGUUCUUGAAAUGAGGACAUGGGUAUGAAUCUUGGCUGGUUUCUUUGGAACUCCUUAUACUUAUUUGCAUCAGGCUUAGGUUAAACUUGUUUGCAAAAUUCUGAUAGGGAAUAAAGAGAACACUAGAAUCUAUACUUGUUUGCAUCAAGCUUAGGUUAAACUAGAAUUCCAAGUACUAUAAUCAGGUAACAUUUGUUCGUGAAACCUCUAUUCAUAGAGCAUACAUUAUCCUAAAUCAUUGGUUUGAAAUUAGUUAUUAGUUAGAUAUUUAACCUUUUAUGGAAGAUAUACUAAAAAAAUAUUGUUAAGCAA